rnacentral:rRNA from 1 species
CAGCAGCCGCGGUAAUACGGAGGGUGCAAGCGUUAAUCGGAAUUACUGGGCGUAAAGCGCACGCAGGCGGUUUGUUAAGUCAGAUGUGAAAUCCCCGAGCUUAACUUGGGAACUGCAUUUGAAACUGGCAAGCUAGAGUCUUGUAGAGGGGGGUAGAAUUCCAGGUGUAGCGGUGAAAUGCGUAGAGAUCUGGAGGAAUACCGGUGGCGAAGGCGGCCCCCUGGACAAAGACUGACGCUCAGGUGCGAAAGCGUGGGGAGCAAACAGGAUUAGAUACCCGAGUAGUCCCUGUCUCUUAUAC